UGCCAGACGUAAAAUGUCAGAAGUUUAUUUUGUGCUCCUUGAUUGGAAUUGUAUUGCUGCUGUUGUUGAAGAUGAUGACCAAUCGAAGAUGUUUUUUUCUUCUUGUUGCGACUAUCAAAUGGUACCACUUCGGACACAAAAGAAACACGAAGCAAAGGAAGAUGAAACCACUUGGUCUUCACUUUGAAUGGGAAACUGUUAAUCUUGUUGUGUCCAGAAGGACGAUGAAGGCGGUGAAAUGGUGGUUUCUCUCUAUUCGAAAAGAUGCCUGAAUUAAGUGGAUCCUGUUGAAGGGUUUAUUUGAACACCGCAUUAGGAUCGCUUUUAAUGGGAGUUUUUAAGAAAAGGGUCGAACUUGACCAGAAGACGGAGCACAUAAAGUGCAGACAAAGCGUCGCCCCCAUCGUCAUCGUCGGCUGGAAUGGUCGUCGGGUCCUACGUGAAGGUGUGUUGGAUCACCUUCUACAUCUGCACCAUCUGCACCGUGCUGUUGUACUCGCUUCGGGUGGGAAUCUCCUGAUUGUACAACCUGAAAGAGAUUAUCAAAAUAUAAAUCAAACCGACAAAUAGCGAACAAAUCGAAAUCCAAUCCCCGCCAGGAGAGAUGCACUGCGAAGAAAUCAACAAAAACAACGCCAUCACAACUACGACAAGCUUCCAGAGAACGAGAGCGAGAGAAAGAUUGCUUCAACCGAAUCUUCCGUACGACCCCUAGAAGCUAGAUUAUUGUUUUACGUUUCUCCUCCGUCGGAAGCUCCAGAGCUACGGGCUCGAAGUGAACGAUAAAAGUGGCAACGAACCGGCAUAAUUGGAGUGUCCAGAUGACCAGCACCAUAUCCGAGAGCGAACGAGCGGCCAAUUUCAGUUUUCAACCAACCAAACGAGGAAGCCAACGAAUUACAAAAUCCAACGCCAGAGCCAGGAACGGAACCGAUUACAGCGAACAGAAGUCAACGACAUUUAGACGAAGAAUACAAAAUACGUUAAUCUGUCAAGAAUUUAAUACAUGCUACCACAGUUUUAUGUUCCGCACUUUGCACUCAGCAGCUGUUUCACAUGAUAGUUAGAUUGAGGAAAUGUAAUUCAACUUUGAGCUCCCAGCAGAAUUCCGUUCGUUUGUCUGUGGCCAAUCUUUGGUCUGUAGAAGUUGGAGGGUUGAUGCUGUGGUUUUGUUUUCCGAAAAUUGACUGUAAUUAACCGGGAUUGGUUGGGCCAAGCAUGUACUCGGCUGGAAAUAGGAAAAUUGGCGUCAUGAUGUGCCGAAAAACACCUCUGUACAUUGCCGGACACGAGUGCUGGUACUGGAGUAAAUAGCUCAGAGGAGGAAACUAGCGGUUGGAAAAUGGAAUUAAAUUGCAGUUUUUAUUUAAACUUAAGAGACAUAGAGAAUUACUGCGAAAGCUGAGGUGUUUGGAAUUGUGGCGUACUAAGUGGAAGAUUUUGUUCUGAACGAAUAAUCGACUGUUAAGAGUUUUAUUUCUUUUUUUUUCAAGAGUUCAAAACUUAUUAUUUUGACUUCGAAAUAAAACUGUGGUACGAAUAUAUCAUGCUGUCGCAAUACUCUCAAAGGAUGCUGUCAACAUAUUGAUAAAUUUGACCGAUAUUUGAAAUUGCAAUCGUAAAGUAUGCUUUAGAAUAUUUAUCAAGGUGAUUCAAGUAAGAAGCAGUGCAUUAUACUGUAGUUGGUACCGAAACAUGAAUGAAAAUCAUCGUGGAGAAAACAAUUUAAUUUUGUAUUCGAUUUCUCGGUGUUAAUGCUUUGUAUAUUUUAAACUAUUCAUUUAAAAAAUUUACACGUUUCAGCAGGAAAAAUCAGAAAUGAAUUAUAAAAAGAUGCUACGGCAUUGGAAAGAAAGGAUGUAGAAAGGAUAAACAAAAUUUAUUAAGGAAUUCAUAGUAAAAGUA